rfam:Lupinus angustifolius cultivar Tanjil contig_21300, whole genome shotgun sequence.
AUGCCAUGAUGAGGGCAAACUUCAGUUAACUCAUUUAAUCUUUCCCAAGCUUCAACAAUUGACUCCACAUCUUUUUGACUAAAGUUUUGGAUGAGGUGUUUGUGGUG